rnacentral:rRNA from 1 species
UACGUAGGGGGCAAGCGUUGUCCGGAAUUAUUGGGCGUAAAGGGCGCGUAGGCGGCUUUUCAAGUGACGGGUGAAAUCCCUCGGCUUAACCGAGGAACUGCCUGUCAGACUGGAAGGCUUGAGACCGGGAGAGGUGAGUGGAAUUCCCAGUGUAGCGGUGAAAUGCGUAGAUAUCAGGAGGAACACCUGCGGUGUAGACGGCUUACUGGACCACCACUGACGCUGAGGCACGAAAGCGUGGGUAGCAAACAGG